GAUGAACGCUGGCGGCGUGCCUAAUACAUGCAAGUCGAGCGAACAGACGAGGAGCUUGCUCCUCUGACGUUAGCGGCGGACGGGUGAGUAACACGUGGAUAACCUACCUAUAAGACUGGGAUAACUUCGGGAAACCGGAGCUAAUACCGGAUAAUAUAUUGAACCGCAUGGUUCAAUAGUGAAAGACGGUUUUGCUGUCACUUAUAGAUGGAUCCGCGCCGCAUUAGCUAGUUGGUAAGGUAACGGCUUACCAAGGCAACGAUGCGUAGCCGACCUGAGAGGGGGAUCGGCCACACUGGAAUUGAGACACGGUCCAGACUCCUACGGGAGGCAGCAGUAGGGAAUCUUCCGCAAUGGGCGAAAGCCUGACGGAGCAACGCCGCGUGAGUGAUGAAGGUCUUCGGAUCGUAAAACGCUGUUAUUAGGGAAGAACAAAUGUGUAAGUAACUAUGCACGUCUUGACGGUACCUAAUCAGAAAGCCACGGCUAACUACGU
rnacentral:rRNA from 1 species